UUGUAUCAGGUGCUGCUAUAGGAUUGGAAAGGCAGGUAAAAAACAGUAUUAGCAAUUUUCUCACUAAUUCCUAUAUGAACAUGUGGAAAACUCUUUAUAUGGAUUUGGGACUACAGAAUGUAAUUAACUCUUUUUUACAGUUCCUGGUAUUAUUGGCUGCCACCAAGCCCUUGAAGCUAUAAAGAUUGCAAGUGAUGUUGGUGAACCACUCUCAAGAAGGAUGCUUCUUUUUGAUGCAUUGACUGCACAGAUUCAUAUCGUCAAGAUCAGAGGGAGGUCAUCACAAUGUGAUGUUUGUGGAGAAAAUGCAACAUUCACCGAAAAGCAAUUUCAAGAGUUUGACUACGAGAAAUUCACACAAUCUCCCCUGUCCAUGUGCACCAGUCACAUUCUAAAGCAGUGAAGAGAGCCAUCAGUGAACAUUGUGGUGUAUGGACAAUCUCAAUGCUUAGUUACUUUUACUGUUUCCAGUGCAUUGGUAUAAGGUUAGCUUGGUAAACAUUGUGGUGUACUUGAAUUGAGUGU